AAGGUGUAGAGCCAAAUGUAUUCACCUACAACGCGGUGAUCGAUGGAUAUUGCUUGCACGGUCAAAUGGAUAAAGCAAGGAGACUUUUCGAUUCGAUGGUAGAUAAGAGCAUUAAGCCUGGUUAUCACAUAUAGUUCGUUGAUGGAUGGUUGUUGUAAGCUUGGCCAGUGGGAAAAUGUUAGGAAUUUGUUCUCUGAAAUGGUAAAUCUGAAUAUUUAUCAUAAUGUCCGCACCUUCAGCAUACUGAUAGAUGGUCUAUGCAAAGAAGGGAAAGUUGAAGAUGCUGAGGAGGUAAUGAGACACAUGAUUGUAAAAGGUGUAGAGCCAAAUGUAUUCACCUACAGUACGAUGAUCGAUGGAUAUUGCUUGCGCGGUCAAAUGGAUAGAGCAAGGAGACUUUUCGAUUCGAUGGUAGAUAAGAGCAUUAAGCCUGGCAUUAUUAGCUAUAGCAUAUUAAUAAAUGGAUAUUGUAAGAACAAUAAAUUGGAUGAGGCCAUGCAUUUGUUUCAUGAAAUUUCUCGAAACGGAUUCGAGC
rnacentral:lncRNA from 1 species